rnacentral:rRNA from 1 species
GAUGAACGCUGGCGGCGUGCUUAACACAUGCAAGUCGAACGAGAAGUGAAGACGGAAACCUUCGGGCGGAAGGCUUUAUUUCGAGUGGCGGACGGGUGAGUAACGCGUGGGUAACCUGCCUCAUACAGGGGGAUAACAGUUGGAAACGACUGUUAAUACCGCAUAAGACCACAGCACCGCAUGGUGCGGGGGUAAAAACUCCGGUGGUAUGAGAUGGACCCGCGUUCGAUUAGCCAGUUGGCGGGGUAACGGCCCACCAAAGCGACGAUCGAUAGCCGAUCUGAGAGGAUGACCGGCCACAUUGGGACUGAGACGCGGCCCAAACUCCUACGGGAGGCAGCAGUGGGGAAUAUUGCACAAUGGGGGAAACCCUGAUGCAGCGACGCCGCGUGAGUGAAGAAGUAUUUCGGUAUGUAAAGCUCUAUCAGCAGGGAAGAAAAUGACGGUACCUGGGUAAGAAGCCCCGGCUAACUACGUG